rnacentral:lncRNA from 1 species
UUGAAAUCAACAAUUAAACAUCACUAAAAAGAUCCCAAAUAGGGGAAACAACCACUGUAAAUAUGUUUGUCAAAUAACUGAAAAACAUGAAAGACUAUCUGAAAACUGUGAAAACAAUGAAAGAGUUAGCUGAGGUCCUCCAUGGUACCACUCCAUUCGAAUCCCAGAGUCACUCCAAGGUGGUGUUGCUGCUCGUGCUCCCUUCUUAGGCGGCAUUGGCUUCUGAAGUCCCAAAGUUGGUCAUGCAUGAAGAAAGGUAGUGGGUGUCAGCGAUAAACACUGAGUAACUAAGCAUGAACGUGAAUAACUGAACUAAUAUCUAGUAAUGUGACAAUGUGGUCCUGUAGGCAUCAUCCUAACAUUAGCCAUCCCAGCUAUGAGCGGAUAGCCUCAUGCUGGAUCAGACCAUGAAACUACCAUGUAAUACCGUGAGAGAAGCUCAAGGCUUGCUCGUCACGUCUAUCUGAAGUCCGACUGUAACCUGGAGGAUCGCGCAAUCUAUGGGGUGGGUGACCGACGUAUAACAGGAGCUAAUCUAUCUUGUCCUGAUUCUUAUCCUAAUCAUGAACCAUGAAUCACACGCACUAUUCCUCGCUGUGAGCUUAUGCUCGAAAUUAACUAAUGUCUGUGCAGUGGAUCACACGCUACUGCAUAGCCUAAAAUACUCAACUGCAUAACACAACUACAUGUAUAGUAGAUCACACGCUACUGUAAAUCCCAACAAUGAUUCAUGAUAACUAAUUACAAUUCUUCGCAUAAAGCAGAAAAGUAAUCCUAACCCCUACCUUUGAAAUAUUUCCUCUGAAGAGUCUGAUUUGAAGUCAUCUCCCUAGAUUUUGAUUGCAUGAUCUGUAUGACCUGAAGAGAUCAAUCGUAGGAAAUCCCAAAACCCCAAAUCCAAACCUGUCAGGAUUAUCCUACGUGGGAUUCAAAACAAAGGAUUGAGAAAGGAGGAAGAAGGUAGAGUACCUUCUGAAGCUCCCUCGACGAUCUCUAAGCCUAUCCUACUGAUCUGGGAUCGAUCAACAAGUUCCUCUCCUCUGUCUGGAACCAAUUGCCGCUCGUCAGUGAUUGCAAAAAGAUAAGGUUUUGGUAAUUCUGAACUUUUGGAAUCGCGACUCUAUUUUUAUAAGCUGUCCACCACGCCCUUGGCCUACUGACCACCACGCCCGUGAUGACAAGCAACCACGCUUGUGUCCUAAUGAUGAUCACGACCGUGAUGCUCCUUCCAGCCACGAACGUGACAAUCACCAACCACGACCGUGAUCUAUCUGAUGAUCACGCCCGUGACAGACUGCCAGUCACACCCGUGAUGGUCUAUCUGAAAGCGAUUGACAGAGACUCAUAGAAACUGGAAUUAAACCCCGAGUCAGACAUUAACCCAAAAUCGAGGUGUUACAGUUAGCAUCAUCAUAAAAAGGCA